CCAGCAUGCCUGCUGUGUCAGCCAGCAGAGGCUGACCUGGACACCUGCGGGGAAAAACUCCAGAGAAAUGGAUUCUGUGCCCACGAGUUCUGCCUGUUUUUUGCCAGCCACCUUCCUCAGCACAAUGAGGAUCAAGUAGGACUCCAGGGCUUUCUCCCAAGGGAUAUCCAAGAUGUAUCUCCUGGGCAGCAGAGCAGAGCUGCUGCAUCUGUGGCCAGAGCGGGGCCACCAUCUCCUGCUGUG